UACGUAGGGUGCAAGCGUUGUCCGGAAUUAUUGGGCGUAAAGAGCUCGUAGGCGGUUUGUUGCGUCGGCUGUGAAAUCCCGAGGCUCAACCUCGGGUCUGCAGUCGAUACGAGCAAACUAGAGUGUUGCAGGGGAGACUGGAAUUCCUGGUGUAGCGGUGAAAUGCGCAGAGUAUCAGGAGGAACACCGGUGGCGAAGGCGGGUCUCUGGGCAACAACAUGACGCUGGAGGAGCGAAAGCGUGGGGAGCGAACAGG
rnacentral:rRNA from 1 species